GCUGGCGUGCAGUGCCAUGAUCUCGGCUCACUACAACCUCCAUCUCCCAGCUUCCAGCGAUUCUCCUGCUUCAGCCUCCUGAGUAGCUGGGAUUAGAGGCACCCCCAACCAUGCCUGGCUAAUUUUUGUAUUUUUAGUAGAGACAGGGUUUCACCGCGUUGGCCAGGCUGGUCUCAAACUCCUGACCUCAAGUGAUCCUCCCGCCUCUGCCUCCCAAAGUGCUGAGAUUACCAUGCCCGGCCUGUGACUGAGUCUUAGGUGAUGGAAUGUGAGCGGAAGUGAUACACAUCACUUGUUGGAACUUCAGUGCAGAGGGUUGAAGUAAUCAUAUUCUUCAGUUGAAGAGACUAAAACAACUUUACCAGAUUGAAACACUCAAGACAAAGGAGCCCAGGAACAAAAUUCAUCAGAAAACUAGAGGAAGUUUUCAUGGAGUUGCUGUUGAUUCUAAGGAAGCCAACAGCCGUGUUGUGAGUACCCAAUGGAAAGUCUGUUGUGGCAGAAAACUGAUGUCUCCAGCCAACAGCACUGAGGCCCUGAGACCUGCCAACUGUCAUGUUACAUCUCAAGGA
rnacentral:lncRNA from 1 species